UGCCUAAUACAUGCAAGUCGAGCGAACUGAUUAGAAGCUUGCUUCUAUGACGUUAGCGGCGGACGGGUGGGUAACACGUGGGCAACCUGCCUGUAAGACUGGGAUAACUCCGGGAAACCGGAGCUAAUACCGGGAUAACAUUUUUUUCUUGCAUAAGAGAAAAUUGAAAGAUGGUUUCGGCUAUCACUUACAGCCCCGCCCCGCCGCUGCAUUAGCUAGUUGGUGAGGUAACGGCUCACCAAGGCAACGAUGCAUAGCCGACCUGAGAGGGUGAUCGGCCACACUGGGACUGAGACACGGCCCAGACUCCUACGGGAGGCAGCAGUAGGGAAUCUUCCGCAAUGGACGAAAGUCUGACGGAGCACCGCCGCGUGAGUGAUGAAGGCUUUCGGGUCGUAAAACUCUGUUGUUAGGGAAGAACAAGUACAAGAGUAACUGCUUGUACCUUGACGGUACCUAACCAGAAAGCCACGGCUAACUACGUGCCAGCAGCCGCGGUAAUACGUAGGUGGCAAGCGUUACCCGGAAUUAUUGGGGCGUAAAGCGCGGCGCAGGCGGUUUCUUAAGUCUGAUGUGAAAGCCCACGGCUCAACCCGUGGAGGGUCAUUGGAAAACUGGGGAACUUGGAGUGCAGAAGAAAAAAAGCGGAAUUUCCACGUGGUAGCGGUGAAAUGGCGUAGAGAUGGUGGGAGGGAACACCAGUGGGCGAAGGCGGCUUUUUGGGUCUUGUAACUGG
rnacentral:rRNA from 1 species